rnacentral:rRNA from 1 species
GAUGAACGCUGGCGGCGUGCCUAAUACAUGCAAGUCGAGCGAACGGACGAGAAGCUUGCUUCUCUGAUGUUAGCGGCGGACGGGUGAGUAACACGUGGAUAACCUACCUAUAAGACUGGAAUAACUUCGGGAAACCGGAGCUAAUACCGGAUAAUAUUUUGAACCGCAUGGUUCAAAAGUGAAAGACGGUCUUGCUGUCACUUAUAGAUGGAUCCGCGCUGCAUUAGCUAGUUGGUAAGGUAACGGCUUACCAAGGCAACGAUGCAUAGCCGACCUGAGAGGGUGAACGGCCACACUGGAACUGAGACACGGUCCAGACUCCUACGGGAGGCAGCAGUAGGGAAUCUUCCGCAAUGGGCGAAAGCCUGACGGAGCAAAGCCGCGUGAGUGAUGAAGGUCUUCGGAUAGUAAAACUCUGUUAUUAGGGAAGAACAUAUGUGUAAGUAACUGUGCACAUCUUGACGGUACCUAAUCAGAAAGCCACGGCUAACUACGUG